rnacentral:rRNA from 1 species
CCUACGGGUGGCAGCAGUGGGGAAUAUUGGGCAAUGGACGCAACUCUGACCCAGCAACGCCGCGUGAAUGAAGAAGGCUUUCGGAUUGUAAACUUCUUUAAUCAGGGACGAGCAGAAUACGGGUCCCCUUGAAAAAGCCCACGCUAACUACGUGCCAGCAGCCGCGGUAAUACCUAGGUGGCAAGCGUUGUUCGGAUGUACUGGGUGUAAAGGGCGUGCAGCCGGGAAGACAAGUCAGAUGUGAAAUCCCGCGGCUCAACCGCGGAACUGCCUUUCAAACUGACUUACUUGAGUAUAGGAGGGGUAAGCGGAAUUCCUAGUGUAGCGGUGGAAUGCGUAGAUAUUAGGAGGAACACCAGUGGCGAAGGCGGAUUACUGGAUGAUAACUGACGGUGAGGCGCGAAAGCGUGGGGAGCAAACAGGAUUAGAUACCCGAGUAGUC